rnacentral:rRNA from 1 species
UUGGAGGGCAAGUCUGGUGCCAGCAGCCGCGGUAAUUCCAGCUCCAAUAGCGUAUAUUAAAGUUGUUGCAGUUAAAAAGCUCGUAGUUGAAUUUCGGGGUCAGUAGGCUGGUCGUGCCUCAGGUACGUACUGGUCUUACUGAUUCCUCCUUCCUGACGAACCGUAAUGCCAUUAAUUUGGUGUUGCGGGGAAUCUGGACUGUUACUUUGAAAAAAUUAGAGUGUUUAAAGCAGGCUAACGCUUGAAUACAUUAGCAUGGAAUAAUGAAAUAGGACGAUCGAUCCUAUUUUGUUGGUUUCUAGGAUUGACGUAAUGAUUAAUAGGGAUAGUUGGGGGCAUUAGUAUUCAAUUGUCAGAGGUGAAAUUCUUGGAUUUAUUGAAGACUAACUACUGCGAAAGCAUUUGCCAAGGAUGUUUUCAUUAAUCAAGAACGAAAGUUAGGGGAUCGAAGACGAUCAGAUACCGUUGUAGUCUUAACCAUAAACUAUGCCGACUAGGGAUCGGAUGAUGUUAAUUUUUUAAUGACUCAUUCGGCGCCUUACGGGAAA